rnacentral:rRNA from 1 species
GACGGAGGGUGCUAGCGUUGUUCGGAAUUACUGGGCGUAAAGGGCGCGUAGGCGGCCUUGUUGGUCGGGUGUGAAAGCCCGGGGCUCAACCCCGGAACGGCACCAGAGACGGCAAGGCUCGAGACCGGGAGAGGAGGGUGGAAUAGCCAGUGUAGAGGUGAAAUUCGUAGAUAUUGGCUGGAACACCGGUGGCGAAAGCGGCUCUCUGGUCCGGUUCUGACGCUGAGGCGCGAAAGCGUGGGGAGCAAACAGGA